rnacentral:rRNA from 1 species
GAGUUUGAUUAUGGCUCAGAACGAACGCUGACGGCGCGUCUUAAGCAUGCAAGUCGAACGGUAAGAGAGGAGCUUGCUCUUCUCCUAGAGUGGCGGACUGGUGAGUAACGCGUAGGUGACCUACCCUGAAGAUGGGGAUAGCUAGUAGAAAUAUUAGAUAAUACCGAAUAAGCUCAUAGACGUAAACGGAUAUGAGGAAAGGAGCUACGGCUCCGCUUUAGGAUGGGCCUGCGUCCCAUUAGCUAAGUUGGUGAGGUAAAGGCUCACCAAGGCGACGAUGGGUAUCCGGCCUGAGAGGGUGAACGGACACAUUGGGACUGAGAUACGGCCCAAACUCCUACGGGAGGCAGCAGCUAAGAAUCUUCCGCAAUGGACGAAAGUCUGACGGAGCGACGCCGUGUGAAUGAAGAAGGCCGAAAGGUUGUAAAGUUCUUUUGCAGAUGAAGAAUAAGGGCAAGAGGGAAUGCUUGUCUGA